rnacentral:tRNA from 1 species
AGGGCCGUCGUAUAGUGGUAGUACAGAGGUCUCCAAAACCUUUAGCGCGGGUUCGAUUCCUGCCGGCCCUG